rnacentral:rRNA from 1 species
AACGUAGGACGCAAGCGUUAUCCGGAGUUACUGGGCGUAAAGGGCGUGUAGGCGGCCGGGUAAGUCCGUCGUGAAAGCCCCCGGCUAAACUGGGGGAGGACGAGGGAGACUGCCGGGCUAGAGGCAGGUAGAGGGGUAUAGAAUUCCGGGUGUAGUGGUGAAAUGCGUAGAGAUCCGGAGGAAUACCAGAGGCGAAGGCGAUGCCCUGGGCCUGUACUGACGCUGAGACGCGACAGCAUGGGGAGCGAACGGG